AUUCCUAGCUUUUUAAAGAGUCUCCAUACCCUCUUCCACAGUGGCUGCAUCAGCUAACAUUCCCACCAACAACGUAAGAGUGUCUCCUUUUCUCCACACCCUCUCCAGCAUUUAUUGUUUGUAGACUUUUUUUUUUUUUUCAUGUUUCUCAUUGCCUCUUUGUUCAGGUCUUUAUUCAAAAUUAGCUGUCCAAAAUGAUUUGGCAUUUAUGGAAUAAACAAAUUUAAGUUUAUGCAGCAGCCUUCUUUUCCUCUGAGGUGGGUUUCUUUUCUGUGGGUUCCUUUUCAGCUGCUGGUUUCUUGGUCCCUGCAGCCUUUUUCCCCACUGCAGGCUUCUUCAGCUUCUUAUCACCAACAGCCUUCUUUUCUUUGUUUCCCACCACAGGCUUCUUGCCCUCAGCCCCCUUCUGAUCUGAUUUGGCUUCUAGCGCUGCUGCUGCCUUAUCCAUGUGGAUUUUGUGGUUCUUGGCCUGUUGAAGAAUGGUGUUCCGGUGCAUGGUCUUUGCGUAUGGGUUAAGCUUCAACAUGAUUCUCAGGUUUUUCAGUGGAUUCUUCUUCAGGACACUGCGAUGAAUCUUCUUGCGUGGUGCUCGGAGUGCUCUUUGAAUUUCUGGGCUUUUCAAGAUUCUGCCAAGGUCUGUAUUGAGCAUCUUGUGCAUGGGGAGGUUGUAGUUACUCUUGAGGGAGGCUGCUUUACGCCAAGUGCCAUACAGCUCAUCCAACUUUCGGAAAACACUUUCAGUCCAAAUGCAGAAACGUCCCACAUGACCACCAAGAGCAAGUUUCAAAAUGUUCAGCUUGCUUACAUUAAGCAGAGUAAUUCCAGGGAUGUUUCUGAAGCAAAACAGCCUCCUUGGUCUUCUUGUAGCCUUCAACUUGAUCUUCAACCACCAAAGGAAGUUCAGGAACUUCCUCUAUACGAUGACCUUUAGACAUGACCAGUGCUGGUAAGGCUGAGGCAGCCAGUGCAGAGCAGAUGGCAUAUCGCUUCUGCAUUGUAUUCACUCUGCGGUGCCAACAUCGCCAGGUCUUGGUUGGUGCAAACAUGCGGUCCCCACGACACAUAUUUCUAAAAGCACCCUGACCAGAACGGUGAGUCCCACCACCUCAAACCCUGGGAAUUCGAGCCACAGCUCUGCCGGUACCCCAAGACUCAGCACUGGUUUGAUGACCUGCUAAUUCACUGACAGCAUAGGGCUGUCUGUUGUUUUUGCACAAGUUGGUGGGAACAAAGUUAACAAUAUUGGGUCGAAUGGGAGGCUUGAACACAGCAGGCAAAGUGGCAUUUUUGCCAGAGGACUCCCCCUUUUCAGAGUACACUGAUAUCUGUGGACGAGCACAUGCCAUGGCGGGGAGAGGAGAAGGCGACGCUCCUCUCAACCCUGCAGCUCCCACAGGAAAAGGUGUUUGUAGACUUUUUAAUGAUGGCCGUUCUGACUGAUGUGCGGUGUAUUUCGUGUAGUUUUGAUUUGCAUUUCUCUGAUAACUAGUGAUGUUGAGCUUCUUUUCAUGUACUUGUUAGCCAUCCAUAUGUCUCCUUUGGAGAAAUGUAUCUCCAGGUCCCUUUCCCCAGUUUGUGAUUGGGUUGUUUGCUUUU
ensembl:lncRNA